rnacentral:rRNA from 1 species
AAAAGCUCGUAGUUGGAUUUCUGUUGAAGGCAGCCGGUCCGCACUUGGUGCGUGUAUCUGGUUUGACUUCGGCAUCCUCUCAAAACACGUUUCUGCGCUUGAUUGCGUGGAGCGGGGUUUGAGACUUUUACUUUGAGGAAAUUAGAGUGUUCACGGCAGGCAAUCGCCUUGAAUAUAUUAGCAUGGAAUAAUAAUAUAGGAUCUUGGUUCUAUUUUGUUGGUUACUAGAGCUAAGAUAAUGAUUAAUAGGGACAAUUGGGGGCAUUCGUAUUAACGCGUCAGAGGUGGAAUUCUUGGAUUGCGUUACGACGAACUACUGCGAAAGCAUUUGCCAAGGAUGUUUUCAUUGAUCAAGAACGAAAGUAAGGGGAUCGAAGACGAUUAGAUACCGUCGUAGUCUUUACCAUAAACUAUGCCAACUAGAGAUGGGGUGUCGUUCUUUUCUGACUCACUCCGCACCUUAUGAGAAAUCAAAGUCUUUGGGUUCCGGGGGGAGUAUGGUCGCAAGGCUGAAACUUAAAGGAAUUGACGGAAGGGCACCACCAGGAGUGGAGCCUGCGGCUUAAUUUGACUCAACACGGGAAAACUCACCAGGUCCAGACAUAGUAAGGAU